rfam:Haliaeetus albicilla contig37325, whole genome shotgun sequence.
AAAAAGGCUCUUUUCAGAGCCACCCACAGUGGUCAUAAGGGACUG